UUCAAAGGCAAAAGUGCUGCGUGGAGCCUGGGGUCAACUGAAUUCUGCUGACCCCGGGCUCCAUGCAGCACUGCUGCUUUGAAA
rnacentral:pre_miRNA from 1 species